rnacentral:tRNA from 2 species
CGCGGGGUGGAGCAGUCUGGUAGCUCGUUGGGCUCAUAACCCAGAGGACGAAGGUUCAAAUCCUUCCCCCGCUACCA